rnacentral:rRNA from 1 species
AACGAACGCUGGCGGCAUGCCUAACACAUGCAAGUCGAACGAGACCUUCGGGUCUAGUGGCGCACGGGUGCGUAACGCGUGGGAACCUGCCCUUAGGUUCGGAAUAACUCCCCGAAAGGGGUGCUAAUACCGGAUAAUGUCUUCGGACCAAAGAUUUAUCGCCUUUGGAUGGGCCCGCGUUGGAUUAGCUAGUUGGUAGGGUAAAAGCCUACCAAGGCGACGAUGCAUAGCUGGUCUGAGAGGAGGAUCAGCCACACUGGGACUGAGACCCGGCCCAGAAUCGUACGGGACGAAGCAGUGGGGAAUAUUGGACAAUGGGCGCAAGCCUGAUAACGCAAUGCCGGGUGAGUGAUGAUGGCCUUAGUGUUGUAAAGCUCUUUUACACGGGAUGAUAAUGACAGUAACGGGAGAAUAAGCUCCGGCUAACUCCGUG